GGCCGAAAGACCAACGACCUUCACCCUCUAUUUCUCUGGCAAACCACCUUCUUCGACCAAAUCAAACCCUAGAAAGUGGAACCUUGACCUCUGGGACAUGAGAAAUUCACCGGCAGCUUUGCAUGUGCCAUAAUAGAACCUUCAUGUGCCAUACCAUUAACAUCAAGAGCUUGAGCUCUCUCAAACUCCACCUUAGAUUGAGUAGAACCCAUUUGAGCCCUAACCUCUGCAUGCACAUCUCUAUCUCUUUUCCAAUUUUCAACGAGGGGUAAUGGACAAACUUCGGCAACCUCCGUGAUUUUCAGGCCAUUUUCCUGCCAAACCACGACGAUUUAACCGCCUAGAAAGGAUUUUAGUGGCAGAGGUUUCAUGACGAUGAUGAUUGCUGGUAAAAGCUAUCAUGUUUAUGUCAAUUUAAUCUGAGGUGAAACUUUGCUCCCACAAAUGAGUCAAUGGGAGAUUAUGUUGAUGCUAAAAAACCGGACGUAGAUAAACUAAAUAGUGAAUGCAAAGAUGACGAUGGGUCCCGAGGUUGGUAGUGUUAAUGGUUCACAAACUACAUUUUGUACGAAACAUAUAAACUAUUUCUCUAAUAACAGUAAGACCCAUAAAUAAAU